CUCCUACGGGAGGCAGCAGUAAGGAAUAUUGGUCAAUGGAGGCAACUCUGAACCAGCCAUGCCGCGUGGAGGAUGAAGGUCCUCUGGAUUGUAAACUUCUUUUAUCUGGGAAGAAACCCAUAGUUUCUACUGUGGUUGACGGUACCAGAUGAAUAAGCACCGGCUAACUCCGUGCCAGCAGCCGCGGUAAUACGGAGGGUGCAAGCGUUAUCCGGAUUCACUGGGUUUAAAGGGUGCGUAGGUGGGCAGGUAAGUCAGUGGUGAAAUCUCCGGGCUUAACCCGGAAACUGCCGUUGAUACUAUCUGUCUUGAAUGUCGUGGAGGCAGGCGGAAUAUGUCAUGUAGCGGUGAAAUGCUUAGAUAUGACAUAGAACACCGAUUGCGAAGGCAGCUUGCUACACGAUGAUUGACGCUGAGGCACGAAAGCGUGGGGAUCAAACAGGAUUAGAUACCCUGGUAGUCCACGCCCUAAACGAUGAUUACUCGACAUCAGCGAUAAACUGUUGGUGUCUGAGCGAAAGCAUUAAGU
rnacentral:rRNA from 1 species